rnacentral:rRNA from 1 species
CCUACGGGAGGCAGCAGUGGGGAAUAUUGCGCAAUGGGCGAAAGCCUGACGCAGCGACGCCGCGUGAGGGAUGAAGGUCUUCGGAUCGUAAACCUCUGUCAGCAGGGAAGAACGGUCACUGUGCUAAUCAGCAGUGAAUUGACGGUACCUGCAAAGGAAGCACCGGCUAACUCCGUGCCAGCAGCCGCGGUAAUACGGAGGGUGCGAGCGUUGAUCGGAAUUACUGGGCGUAAAGCGCUCGUAGGCGGUAUGUCAAGUCAGAGGUGAAAUCCCCGGGCUCAACGUGGGAACGUCCUUUGAAACUGGCAAACUUGAGUGUGUGAGAGGAGAGUGGAAUUCCAGGUGUAGGAGUGAAAUCCGUAGAUAUCUGGAGGAACAUCAGUGGCGAAGGCGACUAUCUGGCACAUAACUGACGCUGAGGAGCGAAAGCGUGGGUAGCAAACAGGAUUAGAUACCCGAGUAGUC